GUUACACACCAGAUUAAUAGUUAUUGACCAGGAAUCGAGAUUGAAGUAGCAGCAGAAUAAAAUUUCCAAUUGGUAAACCACACUAACAGAGUCAAAAUCAAGCCAUCAAAAUGACAAAAUAGAUUCAAACUUGAAUAGUCAAUAGUCAAUAGUCAAUACCUUUGCCCUCUCUUUUGGGGGCAGGGGGUUAGGAAACUGAAGUAGCA
rnacentral:misc_RNA from 1 species